UCACGGCCGCGGGUAUUUUGACCGUGCAAAGGUAGCGUAAUCACUUGUCUUUUAAAUGAAGACCGUAUGAAAGGCACCACGAGAGUUUAACUGUCUCUAUUUUCUAAUCAAUGAAAUUGAUCUAUUCGUGCAGAAGCGAAUAUAAUAACAUUAGACGAGAAGACCCUAUGGAGCUUCAAACACUUAGACUAAUUAUGUAAUUUUUUACACCUCAGGGCAUAAAUAAAAAUACAAUACUUCUAGUCUAACUGUUUUUGGUUGGGGUGACCAAGGGGAAAAAUAAAUCCCCCUUAUCGACCGAGUACUCAGUACUUGAAAAUUAAAAUGACAAUUUUAAUUAAUAAAAUAUUUAUCGAAAAAUGACCCAGGAUUUCCUGAUCAAUG
rnacentral:rRNA from 1 species